CUAUCAUGGGCAUUACCCUUACAACCCCCAUGACGGACCUUAAACCCAACCCUACUCAUGAAGACCCUGGGGCUCAAAAUAUCUAACUGACUGCCAGAGUCAUCAAACCAUCUUGAAGAAGGUAAAAGCUUUUCAGCUACAGGUACAUCUGCAGUCCACCCCCAGCCAACAGAGAAAAUAAAGAGCACUGAAUGCAGUGAAGACAGAAUAAAGGCCUAGGCUGCAGGGCUGUGUGUGCCCCCUGGCAGA